ACGCCUGGUCUCUGGGACGCCCCUCCGGACCGCUUUCGCCUCGCGGAGCCGGUAGGUCCAGGUGCAGCGGCCGCAGUGCUGCGUCCGUGCGCCGCGGGCUGGGGCGGUCUCAGGUGUGCCGAAGCUCUGGUCAGUGCCAUGAUCCGGCAGGAGCGCUCCACAUCCUACCAGGAGCUGAGUGAGGAGUUGGACCAGGUGGUUGAGAACUCAGAGCGGGCAGACGAGCAGGACAAGGAGACGGUCAGAGUCCAAGGUCCGGGUAUCUUACCAGGAUGGCGUGACCAAGCUACUCUGUCACUGUUGGAAGCCAGAUGCCAAGCAAAAAGCUUUCGGGGCUUAGGAUGAGUGAAGCAUCAGCUGUGGAAGAAAAGAAAAUCAAGCAGAGGGAAUGGCCUGGACAGCGAGUCCGCCUCCAGCAGCAUCCGCUUCAGCAAGGCCUGCCUGAAGAACGUCUUCUCGGUCCUACUCAUCUUCAUCUACCUGCUGCUCAUGGCUGUGGCCGUCUUCCUGGUCUACCGGACCAUCACAGACUUUCGUGAGAAACUCAAGCACCCUGUCAUGUCUGUGUCUUACAAGGAAGUGGAUCGCUAUGAUGCCCCAGGUAUUGCCCUGUACCCCGGUCAGGCCCAGUUGCUCAGCUGUAAGCACCAUUACGAGGUCAUUCCUCCUCUGACAAGCCCUGGCCAGCCAGGUGACAUGAAUUGCACCACCCAGAGGAUCAACUACACGGAUCCCUUCUCCAAUCAGACUGUG
rnacentral:sRNA from 1 species